AGUGAACGCUGGCGGUAGGCCUAACACAUGCAAGUCGAACGGCAGCACAGUAAGAGCUUGCUCUUACGGGUGGCGAGUGGCGGACGGGUGAGGAAUACAUCGGAAUCUACUUUUUCGUGGGGGAUAACGUAGGGAAACUUACGCUAAUACCGCAUACGACCUACGGGUGAAAGCAGGGGAUCUUCGGACCUUGCGCGAUUGUAUGAGCCGAUGUCGGAUUAGCUAGUUGGCGGGGUAAAGGCCCACCAAGGCGACGAUCCGUAGCUGGUCUGAGAGGAUGAUCAGCCACACUGGAACUGAGACACGGUCCAGACUCCUACGGGAGGCAGCAGUGGGGAAUAUUGGACAAUGGGCGCAAGCCUGAUCCAGCCAUACCGCGUGGGUGAAGAAGGCCUUCGAGUUGUAAAGCCCUUUUGUUGGGAAAGAAAAGCAGCAGGUUAAUACCCCGCUGUUCUGACGGUACCCAAAGAAUAAGCACCGGCUAACUUCGUG
rnacentral:rRNA from 1 species